ACAGCAGCAGAGGCAGAGGUGGAUAAUUUCCAUGAUGACAGCUGGCAGUAGUCUGAUGAAUUUCUCCGGAGGCGCAGAAGAAGAGAAACCCUGAUCACCACCACAAACCUCAACACAGAGACCAGACCAGACCACCGUCUCUCUUCAUCUUCCAUCCUGUUAUUAGUGGUGUUUGCUAAGUCAGCCAUCGAUUUUACUAAGUUCUCAUAUUUUAGUGUUAGCCACAUGCUGAAACCUCUAGCACUAAGUAUUACAUCCCACAGACACUCAGAACACCUUAGCAACUGCAUAGCAACACCACAACAACCACCGCAGCAUCGAGGCAGUUUGUUUACAUGCACUAAUUUUCUUCAAUCUGAAUGAAUCCAAUCCGAUUUCAGAUCCUGAAAGUUGUUUAUAUGAACGGUAAAUUUCACAUAUUCAUUUACAUGUAUAUUUGCGUAUUCCGAACAAAAGACACUUCUUUGAUAACUGGAAAAGGCCACUGCGAUAAUGUCAACAGAGCUAACGCGAGUCGUUUUGGAUUAGAUGACACCUAAAAGAAAAACUUUUUUAGCAAAUAUUUAGUAAAUAUUCCUUCUCCUCCACUGACCAGCUAACAAAAAUAUGUUCUAAGAAAGUUAUAAUAACGUUAUGAAUUUCUGAAUGUUUUGAAACAAGUAGAAACUUUCAAAAAAAAAAAUGUUAGAUGUACAUCCAACUAAAAUGUUUUCCUAAUGUGUCCAUGAUGUUAUAAAAUGUUCUCUGAACGUUCUAAACAUCCAGUUUGUUAAUGUUUAGAAACGUUGUGUUUUUGGGGGGGUUCUAUUUGAUCAUUUU